UAUUCUUGGAUCUGGAGAGAUUCUCUUACAGUUUAUUUUUGGUAUUAGUUUCCUAGAGGCAACUAGAGGAGGAGAACUUUUGAGAUUUGGAUUUUGAUAGCUAAAGGACGGUUCUUGAUAUUAUGGGUAAUGGUGGAUGCCAAAUGCUUAUGUUUUGAGCUGGAAAUUAAACUGGAAUUUGGGAGGAUUUUCUUUUUCCCCUUCUGUUUUUGGAAAUGCAGUAUUGUCUUGGUUCAUAGAAUUGGUGAAAGUGGAAUUUCUCCUUUAAAUUUUAGCUGUUUUGUGAGGGGGGAAAAAAAAAGAAACAAACAGGGAUUUUGGAGUUUGACUCAGAGUGAAGCAACUCUGUAAAGAAUCUGAAAUCACUAUUUCUUAAUUGGGUUACCAGAGAAUUGCUUAGACAUCUUAAAGGUUGUGUCACAUACACUGGGUCAAAUUUGAAAAGCCUUGGAUUCUGCUUAAUGAGAUAAAGCACGAUAUAUUGUAACUAGUCAAUUGGAUUGGUUGAGGAGAGGAGCAGGAGAUGGCAGCAAAACUUUUACAUUCAUUGGCGGAUGAUAAUCCAGAUUUGCAGAAGCAAAUAGGAUGCAUGACUGGGAUUUUUCAGCUUUUUGAUCGCCACCAUGUCAUCUCUGGUAGGCGUCGCAACCACAGGCUUCUUCCAGGUGAUUCCCACUUGAACAAUGGCAGCACUGAAAGGGAAUCUUUUAAUGUUUAUCAUCGGGCUACAGCUGCUGAAAUGAAUUUGAACAAGAAUUUGAAAGAGAAACAAAGGAUUUCCACAGAAUCAUCCAGACCAUCUUUCUCAUCCUCUUGUUCAUCCUCAUCUUCUCUGGACUGUAGCAAAACAGCCCAACCAGAAGCCUCUUCCUUUGACAGACUUAUUUUCCCUGAAACUCCUUCAAGGGAUUCUGUUCUAACUCAGCCAACUACCUCUUCACAUUUAGGGUGGCAGCCCCUUGAUCUUCGAGGUUUUGUCAAGGACUCGAUGUAUAGGGAAGCUAAAGGGCCAUCGGUCAAAACUUCAACUAAAGAGGAAGUAGUGGCCCCUGCAGUGAAGCAUAAAGACUCCCCAAGGCCAGUACAGCCCUCCAAAUCUGUAGAUGGAUCUUAUGGAAUUGGGAAAAAAAAUUAUCCUGUUGAUCUUAAGGAAUCCCUUAGAGUUCUUGGUAAACUUCGAGAAGCACCUAGGUAUUACAACGAAACUAGAGAAAGGCCAAGAUCUUUACAUGAACCGAAAGAUGGGUCGUCAUAUACAAUUUCAAAAGAUGCUCCUCGGUUUUCUUACGAUGGGAGGGAGAUGAAUCAUUUGUCUUUUGAGUCACGGGAUACCAUCAAGUCCAACCUAAAGCUAAAAGAGCUGCCUAGACUUUCCCUGGACAGCAGAGAAAUUUCAAUGCGAGGUCCCAACUUUGAUUCAAAAUCAAGUUUCAUUUCAAAAGAUUUACAAAGUGCUGUGAAUUCAAAUGAAAAGAACUAUAAUUUACAGCAUUCAUUGGGAACCCAGAAGCGACCUUCUAAUGUGGUAGCUAAGUUGAUGGGAUUGGAAGCAAUGCCAGACUCUGCAUCCACUAGUUCUAGUCAGUCAGAUUUAAUCAAGAGCAUUCCUGUUGACCAUAGUGAUUCCUUCUCAACAUCAUUGAAAGUGAAUGAUCUAAACAGACCAAUUUGGAUUCCAAAGUCCCCGAGAAACAUAUCAAAAGAGCCUAUGUCACCAAGAUGGAAAAAUCCUGAUUUGAUAGUGAAGCCCAUUUCAAGGUUGCCAAUUGAACCAGCACCAUGGAAGCAACUGGAAGGAAGUCGAGCCUCUCAGAAACCUGCAAAAAUUUCAGCUAAGACACCAAAUUCCUUUCCAACAGUUUACAGUGAGAUUGAGAAGAGAUUGAAAGAUCUUGAAUUCAAUCAAUCUGGAAAGGAUCUCAGAGCUCUUAAGCAGAUUCUGGAAGCAAUGCAGGCCAAGUGGCUAUUGGAGACCAGAAAAGAAGAACAAGGAACAAACUUUGGUACCCAAAGGGAAUAUGAGCCCAACUGUACUAGUCCUAGGCAAAAGCCGAGAUCUUUAAGCCAACGCAACCAAAAGAGCAAUCGUGUUAGUGAUUCAACAAGUAGGGGUUCUGAUUCUUUCAGGACUUGUGAAUCGCCCAUUGUGAUCAUGAAACCAGCUAAACUGGUUGAAAAAUCUGGCAUUCCUGCUUCCUCAGUAAUUCCUAUAGAUAGUUUUCCUGGUCUUCAUAAAAUUCCAAGCAGUGGACAUGCAGGUGGUCAAAAUAGAUCAGCUAAUAACCGAACAGCUAAAAAUCAAUCUCCUGGAAUCACUCACCGGGACCAUACUUUCAACUCCAGUGAUAAGAAAGCCAGUGUGAGGCAUAUAUCAACUCAAUCUUUAACAAGACCUCAACAAUUGCCAAAAGAAAACACCACAAGUUCAGUAAAAAGCUCAGGUUCUGUAAGCCCAAGAUUGCAACAGAAAAAGCUGGAGUUAGAGAAGCGUUCUCGUCCACCAACCCCUCCAUCUGAUUCAAACAGGCCUAGAAGGCUCUCCAACAGGAUGUCAACUGAAUCAGGUUCACCUGGUGGGAAAAACAGACUGAAAGCUCACAAAUUACCACAGAGUGAUGACCAAAUGAGUCAGAUAAGUAAUGAAUCGAGUCAACAAGGGGAUGACAUAUCCCUGCAGUCUGACAGCACUGUUAUCUUUUACUCAAAGACAGAUGUGGAAGUCACGAGCUCUGAACAAGCUACUGAGAUCAAUGGCAGCCAGAGUCCAUCCAUGAAGACUGGCAAUCACUUGCUUUCUGGCGCCAAGCAGAAAAAACCAACUUCAAGUUUGGAAGAAGGUGGAACAUUGACAGAACUUGCUGUUGAUACCCCAGAGCAUCCUAGUCCCAUCUCUGUUCUUGAUGCAUCAUUGUAUAGAGAUGACACACUGUCUCCAGUAAAGCAGACAACAAAUUUGUCUAAAGGUGAUGGCGCUGAAGAUUCUAAGGACCAACAUAGUGAGAAUCAGUGGAACGUAGAAAAUAACUUGUUAUCUAACAGUGUGGGGCCUGGUCUUACGUCAGAGAUCAGUCGAAAGAAAUUACAAAACAUAGAGAAUUUGGUACAGAAACUUAGACGAGUAAACUCCACUCAUGAUGAAGCCAGCACAGAUUACAUUGCAUCACUUUGUGAAAACACAAAUCCAGACCACAGAUAUAUCUCUGAGAUCUUGUUAGCUUCAGGUCUUCUACUCAGAGAUCUUGGCUCUGAAAUGACCGCAUUUCAGCUCCACUCAGCAGGUCACCCUAUUAACCCUGAGUUAUUCUUUGUAUUGGAACAAACCAAGGCCAGCACUUUGCUUUCGAAAGAAGAAUGCAGCCCUGGAAAGAGCUCCCAUUCAAAGCCAAACCCUGAAAGGUUUCACCGGAAGCUCAUAUUUGAUGCUGUUAAUGAAAUGAUUGUUAAGAAGUUAGCAUUAGUGGUGCCCUCUCCUGAGCCAUGGUUGAAAUCUGAUAAACUGGCAAAGAAAACCCUCUGUGCUCAAAAGCUUCUAAAAGAGUUGUGUUCAGAGAUUGAACAACUUCGAACCAAGAAAUUAGAAUGCUGCUUAGGGGAAGAGGAGGAUGGUCUGAAAGGCAUUUUGUGGGAUGAUGUGGUACAUCGGUCUGAUAGUUGGACAGAUUUUCAUGGCGAAGUUUCUGGUGUCGUGUUAGAUAUUGAGAGGUCAAUCUUUAAGGAUUUAGUCGAUGAAAUUGUGAUCGGCGAGGCAGCUGGUUUUCGCACCAAAGGAGGUAGGCGUAGGAAGCUGUUUGCAAAGUAGCUAGCUGUCUGCAAAAUAUCAUCUUCUAGUUCUUCAUUUUACCUUUUGUCUUUCUUUCUUAUUAUAUUUUUUAUAUUAAAGCACAAUAGUUCGUGAGUAAGAACUGGUUGGAUUGUAAAAAAUUAAUUUUCUCAGAUUUUGACAUUAUACAUAUUCAUAAGAAUGAAUAUAUCAUAUAUGCCAAACUUUUUCCUCAGCA
rnacentral:misc_RNA from 1 species